rnacentral:lncRNA from 1 species
GUUAGUUACGUAAAGUUAAUAAGAGUUGUUAUCUUUGUUCGUUUUUAAAAUUAGUAAUUUAUAUCCAUUUUAUUUGGUGGUGUGCGGUUGAAGUGAUGAAACGAUGAGAAGUUAAUCCACAUUCCAUCCAUACAUCAACAUCCACGAUACAUGUUCAUAGCUUUUCGUUGGUAAUGUUUUCUUUAUGUGUAUUAUUAUUAUGUUUGGUAUGAACUAACUUUUCUAUUCUGCGAAAUUUGACGGA